rnacentral:lncRNA from 1 species
GUGACCGAACUGCCCGCGCGGAGAGGACUGGCGGCGGAGAACUGCAGCAAGAGCAGGAAACCCACGGGACCGCGGACGUGCGCGAGGCUCGAGGCCGUGCUGCACCGAGGGGCUCGACUCGUGGCGCCGUGCGGUCACUUCCGGCCUGCGGGGGGUACUUUUUAAAGGGAUAGCGGGUAUUUCCGAAGCCAUGGGGGCAUCGCCACGCCGCGGUGUCGCCGCUGGGGCCGGGGCUUCUGUGGGUUCUAAUGAUUCUGCCGUACGUACUUUGCCCUAACUGUCAACUGUUUUGUCAAGUCCGCGUUGGCUCCAAGAGAGACCUUCCCUGAAGUUUUCAGUGCCCGCGGAGUGGACAGCCCCGGCGGAGCAUCUGACCGCCCCCUCCCCGGCUCCCGCUGCAGCUGUCAUUCACAGCGAUGAUGCUGUUUUUCUUAGAGAUCAGAGUGUACAAAUGGACUGAUGCUGCAAAGUCCGUGGGUGGGGUUGGGGUGGGGAGAGUACUUCUGCCUUCCGGGUCUUCAGAGAUGCGUUUACACUUCGAUGAGUAGCGCUGACAAGCCACGUCUUGCAAGGGCGGUUGCAUUAGACCGAAUAGCACAGGUUUCUUUCACCGAUAUGAGCUCGGGCAGCAUUCAUCAUCUGGAGGGGGAUCUUUCCUUAUCUACCUCUCCUUUCUACUGUUUGAAGUGUAAAUUCAUCUUAGGUUAUUGAGUUUUCAGUACUUUGAUUGUAUCCAAAUGGAAGCAUUAAAAUAUGAUAUUGUCUGGCAGUAAAUUUACUUAAAAAAAAAAGCUGACCCUGUGGACCAUCACAUGAGUUAAAUAUCCAAGAUAAAAGAGUGAACAGAGAGUUGCAGGAGGACUAAGAAACACGAGGAAACAUGAGUAACCGUGAUAACGGUUAUAAUUUGCUUUAAAGAUCAUUUACAUUUUCUUUAUAAAUUUCCUGUGAAUGAGUUCUUUGCCUGGACGUGUGUCUAUUCACGAUGUGCUAGAGCAACCAGAGCUCUUAACCACUGAGCCAUUUCUCCAACCCCCGAAGAGUAUAUAUUUGCCUUUUGAGAGAGAACAGUUUUUAGUAGUUUUUGUCAUUUCCAUGGAAUUCUAAAUUUAUUUCUUGGCUAUUUUACUAGGGAAUCUAACUUAAUAAAAUGGAUGUUCUGUUGAACCUACAGGUCAUACAUUGGGAUAAGUUAGUUCCAAAAGCGUAGUUACCACCUCGAUGUACUUUAAUGUUAGUCAUUAAAAUUCUCUGAGUGGUGUGGAAAAGUAAAUAACGUACACAUCAAAGAAGGGGCUCUUGGGAUCUAGGAGGGAUGGGGCAAGGCUUAAACAGACACCUUUCAGUCUCAGGCUUAGUCUGGAGGACAUGAAGUUCUUGUCUGUAGUUGUAUAGGUUAAGAUUAUUUUCAUUGCUGUGGGAAAGAAUAGUGUUAUUGUUUUUAGUUUAGUUUAGUUUUUUUUUUUUUC